UGCCUUCGGACGGCGUAAAAAGCAGCGAGGAAGAGUUGAAGCGACCAACGUAAAAAAGCGUA
rnacentral:ncRNA from 1 species